UUUCCUUCUCCUUCGUGGUUCUCUCUCUUCACCGCUGUCGUCUCCUCACCUGCACCAACCACCGCGCCGCCACCAUCUCCCACGCUGCCACCAUCUCCCACGCUUCCAUCAUCCACACGUCGUCUCCUGUACUGCAAUUUGAAGAUGUAUAGCCUGUCUCCCUGCAAACUCCCUUCUCUCAUGUUGGCAUUUCAUUGAAUUCCAAAGCUCGAGCAGCAAAUUGGGCAAGUUGAGCGUGCUUCAUGAAUGUGGAAGAGCUGCUACAACCAGGAGUGGAAUGCAAUUCACUUAAGGCUGGUUUAUUGAGUUAAGCUUGGUAUUGGGGGUUUCAACGUUGGUGCUGCAAUCUCUCCGUAUUCUAUGAUAUGCCAAGUUUAGGCGAUACAGGAACAGGAGCUCUUAUCCUAUCAAUCUGAGCGUAGUAGUGGGACUCAGUGGAUGGCUUCCAUGUUCAAGUAAGGAGGCAACAUACCGAGUGGAAGGCAAAUGUUGCAGAGGCUAUGUCUGUCACUGUGUGGUUAGGAAUGCAAAGCUAGGAAGCUUCAAACACUUGCAUAACAAGUCUAAAUUAGUUUGAUCACAUUCUCAUAUCCCAGCCUCCUAGCCACCUCAAGGCCGUAUCUUGCAGCUCCCGCUUCUGCUAGCAUUGGAGUCCAGUUCACUGCGAUCCUUUUAACUGCCGCAAGGAGAAGCUUACCUUCCUCAUCUCUUAUCAUAACUCCAAACUCACACCAUUUCCAGUUGAGACAUGUGCAUCUACAUUCACCUUCACACUAUUGUUUGGGGGCAGGACCCAAGACGAUGCAGAAGGGAAGUGAAACGAUAGUACCCCCGUACUAACCUUCUCAUUGUACACCUCAUAAUCAUUACUGAGGGACACGAAGCCAACAACCACCAUAACAGGUUCCACAGUGGUUUGGCUCUCAAAUACACUCUUGUUACGACAGAACUAGGACGCCCACACAAGAGAGGCGAACACACGGAGCUGAACUCUAUCCACCUUCCCAGCCACCCACAUGAAGCAGUCAGCAAAACUAUAGCUAGAAGCCCCCACAAGCAACCUUAUAAACUCACUUUGUGCCCCAAUUGUCACAGCAUGUUUACAGUAGAAGAUGGCAUGCAUUAGAGUUUCCUGUGCAGCUCUACACACUGGACAAGAACUACUGUCACAGUACGUGACAUUCAUGAAGGGUGUCCAUCACACCGAGGCUUCCUGGAAAACAUGAGGAAGUACUCUACAAAGCAUUCAUGUCAUGUCACUAUACCAACUGAACAACUAUGAAAAUGAACGCGUGGUCUCUCGCAACAAGGAACUGAAACUUCAAUCUCAACCACCAGCGAUCAGAAGGGACAUUUGCUCGCAAUAAGAACCUUGAGACUUUAUCCGUUAUUAUAACAUUAAAAGUUAAAACCUUUCUAGUUACAACAAUGAAACAAAUGAGCAAAUUUAAAAGUUCGGGUUUGUUAAUAUUCAAAACUUGCUCAUUGUUUCUAAAUGAGCAAAUAUUUUAAAAUCUCAAAUUACUUAACAUUAAAAAAAUAGCUCAUUUUUUAUAUUUUACACAAAUGAGCAAAUAUUUUUGCUCAUUUUUAAAAUUUUAAAGUUCGGGUUUGUUAAUAUUCAAAACUUUUGCUCAUUUUGUCUAAAUGAGCAAAAAUUUAGAUUUCUAAAAAUUUGCUCGUUUUUUAUGGUUUAUACAAAAUGAGCAAAUAUUUUUACUCAUUUAUAAAAUUUUAAAGUUCGGGUUUGUUAAUAUUCAAAACUUUUGCUCAUUUUGUCUAAAUGAGCAAAUAUUUUAAAAUCUUAGAGUACUUAACAUUCAAAAAAAUUGCUCAUUUUUUAUAGUUUAUACAAAUGAGCAAAUAUUUUUGCUCAUUUUAUAUAGUUUACACAACUGAGCAAAUAUUUUUGCUCAUUUUAAAAUUUUAAAAUUCGGGUUUGUUAAUUUUCAAAACUUUUACUCAUUGUGUCAAAUCAGCAAAUCUUUUUAAAUCCCAUAUUACUUAACAUUCAAAAAAAUUGCUCAUUUUUUAUAUUUUACACAAAUGAGCAGAUAUUUUUGUUCAUUUCUUAUAUUUUACACAAAUGAGCAAAUAUUUUUGCUCAUUUUUAUAGUUUACAUAAAUGAGCAAAUACUUUUGCUCAUUUUUUAAAAUUUUAAAGUUCAGAUUUGUUGAUAUUGAAAACUUUUGCUCAUCGUGUCUAAAUGAGCAAAUAAAUUUCCUCAUUUUAUAUAGUUUACACAAAUGAGCAAAUACUUUUGCUCAUUUUUAAAAUUUUAAAGUUCGAAUUUGUUAAUAUUGAAAACUUUUGCUCAUCAUAUCUAAAUGAGCAAAUAAAUUUGCUCAUUUUUUAUAGUUUACACAAAUGAGCAACUACUUUUGCUCAUUUUUUAAAAUUUAAAGUUCAGAUUUGUUAAUAUUGAAAACUUUUUCUCAUCAUGUCAAAAUGAGCAAAAUUUGCUCAUUUUAUAUAGUUUACACAAAUGAACAAAUACUUUUGCUCAUUUUAAAAAAUUUAAAGUUCGAAUGUGUUAAUAUUGAAAACUUUUGCUCAUCGUGUCUAAAUAAGCAAAUAAAUUUGCUCAUUUUUAUAGUUUACACAAAUGAGCAAAUUCUUUUGUUAAUAUUGAAAACUUUUGCUCAUCGUUUCUAAAUGAGCAAAUAAAUUUGCUCAUUUUUUAUAGUUUACAUAAAUGAGCAAAUGCUUUUGCUCAUUUUUUAUUGUUUGCAUAAAUGAGCAAAUAUUUUUGCUCAUUUUUAUAGUUUACACAAAUGAGCAAAUAUUUUUGCUCAUUUUUAUAGUUUACACAAAUGAGCAAAUAUUUUUGCUCAUUUUUUAUAGUUUACAUAAAUGAGCAAAUGUUUUUGCUCAUUUUUUAUAGUUUGCAUAAAUGAGCAAAUAUUUUUGCUCAUUUUUAUAGUUUACACAAAUGAGCAAAUAUUUUUGCUCAUUUUUUAUAGUUUGCAUAAAUGAGCAAAUUUUUUGCUCACUUUUUAAAUUUUAAAGUUCAUGUUUGUUAAUUUUUAAAAAAAUUACUCAUUGUGGCUAAAUGAGCAAAUAUUUUAAAAUCUCAAAUUACUUAACAUUCAAAAAAAGUGCUCAUUAUUUAUAAUUUUAUACAAAUGAGCAAAAAAAAUUACUUUGUAAACAAAGAGUUGCCUAUGUAAGAUUCGAACCUACAUCAUUGUGCAAUCACACAAAGCUCUACCAAUUGAGCUAAUAGGCAUUACUAAUACUUGACUAUAAAAACGAAUAAAGACAACUCGGAAUGAGCAUGACCAAUCCCAAAAGAAUUUUAGAGACAAAGGGCACUAUACCAUAGCGUUUUCAUCUGAGGUUAUAAAACUAACUACUUAGUAGGAAUCUGUCGGGUUGUCGGAGAAGGCAAUUAUUUUCAUAAUGGUAAUUUGCAGCACCAACAACAAUCUUCAUCACAAGCUAGUCGUACAACCAUUUGUCACAUAUGUAUGUUUGUGUAAUGAUAAUCUGACUUCUACAUGCCAUUUUCUGGCAGCUGUAAAUUUCUUGUUAAAUGAUCAAACUGUUUAACAUUAUCCACUCCAAUUAAGCAUCUUGGCCACAGAAUUUGUCUUGAUUAUAAAGUAAUUCAAUCAACUUUUUUAAUAAAAAUCUAAGCUCUUUUGUUUUUCAGCUGCAAAUCUACAAUCCUAGGAUUCCUAGCAGACCAGUAUCACUUCCUUUCUAUGUCCAAUGUCUAAAGCAUACCGAAAACAAUUUUUUUUUAUUUUUUUCUUACUCUUCACAUCAUUUUCCUUUUCUGACCAG